GGAUGUGAGGGAGAUCUGGCUGUGACAUCUGUCACCCCAUUGAUCACCAUGGUAGAUUCGGCUGAUCUGGCUGGCUAGGCGGGGUCCCCUUCCUCCCCCACUGCUCCAUGUGCGUCCCUCCUGAAGCUCGGUGGAAGAGGACAACCAUCCUCGAUAGAGGAGGACCAUUCUUUGGUCAAGGGUAUACGAAUAGCUGCACUCCCCUGCUAGAACCUCCAAACAAGCUCUCAGACCCCUCUGAAAUACAGAGUCCUUCUGCCUGUCCAGUCUCCAUUCUAUGAUGUUGCCAGGUCACAUCUAUUCAU
rnacentral:snRNA from 1 species